UUCUAUUAACUGCUGCUCCUAUCAACAAUGUUAAGCAGAAGCUGAUUGUUAAAGAAGAAGCUUCUUUAGACCACAGACCUCCUGCUGACCUACAUGACCCAACACCCCCCUACAUCAAGGAGGAACAGGAGGGAGUCUACAUCAGUCUGCCAGGAGAGCAGCUCAAUGGGAAGGAGCUUUAUCCAGACCAGAUUAAAGGCAGAGAGCUUCCAGAAGAGAAUGAUGGAGA